AUUGAACGCUGGCGGCAGGCCUAACACAUGCAAGUCGAACGAGUGGCGGACGGGUGAGUAUUGUCUGGGAAACCGCCUGAUGGAGGGGGAUAACUACUGGAAACGGUAGCUAAUACCGCAUACCAUCAGAUGUGCCCAGAUGGGAUUAGCUUGUUGGUGGGGUAACGGCACACCAAGGCAACGAUCCCUAGCUGGUCUGAGAGGAUGACAAGCCACACUGGAACUGAGACACGGUCCAGACUCAAACGGGAGGCGACGGUGGAGAAUAUUGCACAAUGGGCGCAAGCCUGAUGCAGCCAUGCCGAGUGGAUGAAGAAGGCCUUCGGGUUGUAAAGUACUUUCAGCGGGGAGGCGUUACCCGCAGAAGAAGCACCGGCUAACUCCGUGCCAGCAGCCGCGGUAAUUC
rnacentral:rRNA from 1 species